rnacentral:rRNA from 1 species
AACGGACGCUGGCGGCAUGCCUAACACAUGCAAGUCGAACGAGACCUUCGGGUCUAGUGGCGCACGGGUGCGUAACGCGUGGGAACCUGCCCUUAGGUUCGGAAUAACUCCCCGAAAGGGGUGCUAAUACCGGAUAAUGUCUUCGGACCAAAGAUUUAUCGCCUUUGGUUGGGCCCGCGUUGGAUUAGCUAGUUGGUAGGGUAAAAGCCUACCAAGGCGACGAUCCAUAGCUGGUCUGAGAGGAUGAUCAGCCACACUGGGACUGAGACACGGCCCAGACUCCUACGGGAGGCAGCAGUGGGGAAUAUUGGACAAUGGGCGAAAGCCUGAUCCAGCAAUGCCGCGUGAGUGAUGAAGGCCUUAGGGUUGUAAAGCUCUUGUACCCGGGAUGAUAAUGACAGUACCGGGAGAAUAAGCUCCGGCUAACUCCGUG